rnacentral:rRNA from 1 species
GUGGGGAAUCUUAGACAAUGGGCGCAAGCCUGAUCUAGCCAUGCCGCGUGAGCGAUGAAGGCCUUAGGGUUGUAAAGCUCUUUCGUGGGGGAAGAUAAUGACUGUACCCCAAGAAGAAGCCCCGGCUAACUCCGUGCCAGCAGCCGCGGUAAUACGGAGGGGGCUAGCGUUGUUCGGAAUUACUGGGCGUAAAGCGCACGUAGGCGGACUGGAAAGUCAGGGGUGAAAUCCCGGGGCUCAACCCCGGAACUGCCUUUGAAACUCCCAGUCUUGAGUUCGAGGGAGGUGAGUGGAAUGCCGAGUGUAGAGGUGAAAUUCGUAGAUAUUCGGAGGAACACCAGUGGCGAAGGCGGCUCACUGGCUCGAUACUGACGCUGAGGUGCGAAAGCGUGGGGAGCAAACAGGAUUAGAUACCCGGGUAGUCC